UACGGGGGGGGCAAGCGUUGUUCGGAAUUACUGGGCGUAAAGGGCUCGUAGGCGGCCAACUAAGUCAGACGUGAAAUCCCUCGGCUUAACCGGGGAACUGCGUCUGAUACUGGAUGGCUUGAAUCCGGGAGAGGGAUGCGGAAUUCCAGGUGUAGCGGUGAAAUGCGUAGAUAUGUGGAGGAACACCGAUGGCGAAGGCAGCCCCCUGGGCCGACACUGACGCUCAGGCACGAAAGCGUGGGGAGCAAACAGG
rnacentral:rRNA from 1 species